rnacentral:rRNA from 1 species
CAAUAGCGUAUAUUAAAGUUGUUGCAGUUAAAAAGCUCGUAGUUGGAUUUCUGGUAGGAGUGACCGUUCCGAACUUGAUUGUUCGUGUAUUGUGUUUUCUCCAGCCAUCCUUGUGGAGAACUUUUCUUGCAUUAAUUCGUAGGGAUUGGGACCCGCAUCGUUUACUGUGAAAAAAUUAGAGUGUUUAAAGCAGGCAAUCGCUUGAAUACAUUAGCAUGGAAUAAUAAGAUAGGACUUUGGUACUAUUUUGUUGGUUUGCAUACCAAAUUAAUGAUCAACAGGAACAGUUUGAGGAUAUUCGUAUGAACAUGUCAGAGGUGAAAUUCUUGGAUUUUGAUCAGACGAACUACUGCGAAAGCAUUUAUCAAGGAUGUUUUCAUUAA